rnacentral:misc_RNA from 1 species
UACGGAGGGUGCAAGCGUUAUCCGGAUUUAUUGGGCGUAAAGCGCGCGCAGGCGGCCUCUUAAGUCUGAUGUGAAAGCCCACGGCUCAACCGUGGAGGGUCAUUGGAAACUGGGGGACUUGAGUGCAGAAGAGGAAAGUGGAAUUCCAUGUGUAGCGGUGAAAUGCGUAGAGAUGUGGAGGAACACCAGUGGCGAAGGCGACUUUCUGGUCUGUAACUGACGCUGAGGCGCGAAAGCGUGGGUAGCGAACGGG